GCUCGAUCAGCUUUCUGUUUUCAUUGCCUUACGAUGCCAUGAGUGGAACUAUUGUCAAAUCAGAGUUCACUCCCCAGCUUUUCAGUCUUUCCCCUAAUUCUUGCUCUAUCAGAGGUCGAGGACAACAGUAUAAUGAUUCAUAGGUUCUACUUCCUGGCAAGUAAUCAUUUUCCCACGGGCCCUUGUGAAUUGAUGAAUAUGAAGACACUAAGAAAGCAGAAAUAGAACUGAGAAGAAUGAAAUAACUGUCUCUACCUUUCUCGAAUUGUCUAAUAUGGAAAGAAUGAAAGACAGCUAAUAAGCAACUCUCUGCAAGAAGACAUAUGGCUUAGAAUCUACUUGGAGAGAGUCAAACACAGAAUCCCUUUGAAUUUAAUGGCCAUUCCAGGUGAUUUGAACAGCCAAAUAAGAAACAGGUCCUCUUCAAUGUACAAUCUGCCAAGUAUGAAGUCUGAAUGACCAUCAUUAUUAUGUAUUUAAUGUGCAUAGAAAAUCUAUCUGCAACCUUCCAGAGUGUACCAGAAGUUUGGAAUGUACAUUAUUAUUGGCUCCAUCUCAAACCACUCAUAAAUCAAAGAAAAUAGCAGUUCCAGAGGAAUCAUCAUAGAGGCUUCUAGGCCCCCAUGCUGUGUGAACCUGGUGAGAAAGGGAAGUCUGCUCUCACUGGACACUGGAACUGUUUGUCUCUGUCUCUGCUGUACUUUCCCUGCCUCUACCUCACUUAGUAAAGAAAUCAUCUUUGCUUGAUAACUAAAACAACCAAUAAGGCUGAGAAAGGGGAAAACCCACAUCUGGAUUUAAAUACAAGGUAUUGGGCCAGCUGCUGGGGAUUAAACUUUGAACAAAACAGAUAGAAUCUAUGUCCUCAUGGGAGUGGCUAAUGGGAGAGUCGGAACAAAAAAAUAGCCAAGGAUAAUCCAGCAAAUGAUUUGGUGAAUGCUAUCAAAGAGAGAAAUACACAUGCUCUGGGAACACCAAGUAGGUACCUAAUACCUAACCUGUACCUGGGGGGCUGGAAAGGGCUUCUUGGAAGAGGCAGAGACUAAAAUGAAGAAUAAGCAUAAGUUAAGACAAAGCUGGGGUGGGGUCAGAAAGAGUGUGAUAGGCCAACGCAGCAACAUGAGCCAAGACUCAAAAAUAAGAGACAGUGUGGCACAUUUGAUGUAGGAAAGACAUUUAGCUGGGAUAGAAAGAAGGCUAGUGUUGGGGCUGAAUGAGGUUGCAUAAAAGUUUGUAAGCCAAGUUAAGGAAUUGAUCAAAUUUAUAUUUUAGAAUGAUCACUCUGACCUCAGCAUUACAUGACCUGAAGGGGUUAAGCCCAUACAUCUGUAGAGAGACCCGUUAGAAUAGGACUGCAGUAAUAUGGUGAGAGACACUGGUGCCUAACUAGGCUGGUGAUCAUAG
rnacentral:lncRNA from 1 species